GUACCAGAAAGAGAAUGGCGACACCACCACCAACAAGCUUCUUCCCCCUGUCUUAGAAUGGUUUUCCCCUGACAAUAUAAACUGCAGAGAAGGAAAUGGUUGGAAAAGGAAAGCACAGGGUAUCGGAAGGCAAGUUGAGAAAAUACUGAAGGAAGCAUAUUCAGACCUAAAAGUUUUCAAAGCAUUGGAGAAUCCGUGUUGACAUAUAAACUUGUCAGCAGGUUAAUAGAUAAAAUCUUUGGUAGUGAAACUUGUGAAUUACCGUACUACAAGCAGAUUAAUAGAUAAA
rnacentral:lncRNA from 1 species